UACGUAGGGUGCGAGCGUUGUCCGGAUUUAUUGGGCGUAAAGAGCUCGUAGGCGGUUUGUCGCGUCGGCCGUGAAAUCUCCACGCUUAACGUGGAGCGUGCGGUCGAUACGGGCAGACUUGAGUUCGGUAGGGGAGACUGGAAUUCCUGGUGUAGCGGUGAAAUGCGCAGAUAUCAGGAGGAACACCGGUGGCGAAGGCGGGAUCCUGGGCCAGUACUGACGCUGAGGCACGAAGGCCAGGGGAGCAAACGGG
rnacentral:rRNA from 1 species